CGUUCUCUGGAGUGCUCGACAGCUCACCCAUAUUCUCUUGAGCCUAAUUUCGUACCCAAGGAAGCGAACCAUCGGUUCUGUUGUGCAAGACCGCCUGCGAAGCGGGAAGCCUGAUGGGCCGCCAGCCAGCUUCCGACUUGAACCGAACUGGUUCAAGGGUAACGGUGCGCACCGACACAACCGGAGAGCGU
rnacentral:other from 1 species